rnacentral:rRNA from 1 species
UACGAAGGGGGCUAGCGUUGUUCGGAAUUACUGGGCGUAAAGCGCGCGUAGGCGGUGAUCUAUGCCAGAGGUGAAAUCCCGGGGCUCAACUCCGGAAUUGCCUUUGAAACGGGAUCGCUAGAGUCCGAGAGAGGAUGGCGGAAUUCCUAGUGUAGAGGUGAAAUUCGUAGAUAUUAGGAAGAACACCGGUGGCGAAGGCGGCCAUCUGGCUCGGUACUGACGCUCAGGCGCGAAAGCGUGGGGAGCAAACAGG